UACGUAGGGUGCGAGCGUUGUCCGGAAUUAUUGGGCGUAAAGGGCUCGUAGGCGGUCUGUUGCGUCGGGAGUGAAAACUUACAGCUUAACUGUGAGCGUGCUUUCGAUACUGGCGAUCUUGAGGCAUUCAGGGGCGAGCGGAACAAAUGGUGGAGCGGUGAAAUGCGUAGAUAUCAUUUGGAACGCCAAUGGUGAAAACAGCUCGCUGGGAAUGAUCUGACGCUGAGACGCGAAAGCCAGGGGAGCGAACGGG
rnacentral:rRNA from 1 species